GAUGAACGCUGGCGGCGUGCCUAAUACAUGCAAGUCGAGCGAACGGACGAGAAGCUUGCUUCUCUGAUGUUAGCGGCGGACGGGUGAGUAACACGUGGAUAACCUACCUAUAAGACUGGGAUAACUUCGGGAAACCGGAGCUAAUACCGGAUGAUAUUUUGAACCGCAUGGUUCAAAAGUGAAAGACGGUCUUGCUGUCACUUAUAGAUGGAUCCGCGCUGCAUUAGCUAGUUGGUAAGGUAACGGCUUGCCAAGGCAACGAUGCAUAGCCGACCUGAGAGGGUGAUCGGCCACACUGGAACUGAGACACGGUCCAGACUCCUACUGGAGGCAGCAGUAGGGAAUCUUCCGCAAUGGGCGAAAGCCUGACGGAGCAACGCCGCGUGAGUGAUGAAGGUCUUCGGAUCGUAAAACUCUGUUAUUAGGGAAGAACAUAUGUGUAAGUAACUGUGCACAUCUUGACGGUACCUAAUCAGAAAGCCACGGCUAACUACGUG
rnacentral:rRNA from 1 species